AAUAUUAAAAUUAAAAUAUCUAAAAAAAGAUGACUAAUUUAUCAAAUAAAGUAUUAAAGCAUUAAUAAUAGAUCUUUAGUUGUUAGGUAUUUAUCUUUCCCUAUCAACAUAAAAACUCAAAUACUAUAUAUCCUCUCACUUUCUAAAUUGCAAACUCAGCUAAAUUCUGCUUAAGAAAAUAUACCUGCUUUAAAGAGCCUAGACCUUUGCUAGAAUCCCAGCCUUGAGCUCCUCAAAUGAAAGCUUUAUAAAUCUUAAAAGGAGAUAAGGGUCGAGUAUUAUUUCUUCAUCGAAUGUACAUGAAAUAGAGACUUUAUCAUCAAAAGAAAAUACCGAUACUCCAAGACCAAUAUGAUCAGUAAGUGGAAGAGCAAAAGUCAUAUCUCUAAUUUUCUUAUUCAUAAAAGAACAGUUUUUUGGACCAGGAACUGAACUAUAAUACAUUGAACAAGAUUUUGAAUGAGGAUGCCAUAAACAAAGAAGAGCAUAUGGAGAUAGGCAUAAAGUAUAUUGGAUAUAUCUGAUAAAUAUGAUUGGAAGAGAAGUUUUUCUAUAUUCCUGUAGGGAUUCAAAUACACAUCUUAAUCUUUCUGAAGGUGAUGCCAAAGGACAAGUUGGUAUUGGUAGUACUAUUAUGGAAAAUGCAUUAUCCAAUUUAGUUGGUGGUUUAACUCUGUUGUUAGUGGUAACAACCACAUUAAGAUUUGAAUGACAAAGUGAUGAUAAAUCAUUUUCCUUGUAAGAAGAAUAACUUCCUGAAUAUAAACCAUUUAUUUUUGUUUUUAAUUGUGAAUUUGAAUGGAAAUCUAAUUCUACAUCUAAAUCUUGAGAAUUUGUAAUUGAAUCAUACUUUAAUAUGCUAGAAUAUGGUGAUUUGUCGUCAAAAUGAAAAGGAGAUGUAGAAUGAGUAGCAUUUUCUUUAUCAUAUUCAUUAAAUCUUCUUGAAGAAGGAGUUGUUGUUGUUGUUAACAUUGAUACCUCUUUCAUUAAUCCUGGAUUUGGAGUCAUUGUUACUGGAGGAGAGUUCUUAGAUGUUAAAGACACUGGAGAGUGAGCACUUGUAGAACUAUUUGAAGUAUCAUCUGAAUCUCCUUGAAUGGAAAUAUAAUGAUUGACAUAUUUGGAAUAUCCACUUGCAAUACAAGAAAGGAUUAUAUCAUUAAAUGUGAUCCUUUUCGAAAAAUGAUGAGACUCCUUUUUCUUAGUUUUUUCAAUUGCAUUCACUGGAUUUGAUGAAUUUUUACGGAUUUUUCUGCUAAUUAAUUCUGAUUUAUUCUU
rnacentral:antisense_RNA from 1 species